CUGGCUCUUUGGGUAAGUCCCCCACCAGCUGACUCCCUCAACCCUCACACAGCAAAGCUUCACAGACAAGACCAGAUCCCCUCUCCUCCUUAGCUUAAAGUGAAGCAAACAGAGCAACUGUAUGAGUCACAAAACACCUACCCUGCUAACUGUCACCCACAUGUGACUAGGUUACUGGGGCAACGCCCUCUGGGUGAGGAAGCGAUGUAAUGUGUUACCAGAAGGAGGAAACAAGUGGCAACAGCUUUCUUGCUGUAAACCUGUUGACUGCAAAGAAAGAGAGAGAGAGAGAGAGAGAGAGAGAGAGCGCACCCAUCUGCACCCACAGGAAACAUGGUCUGAGUUAUUGUUCACGCCUGCAGCUAUGUGGCAGCUAAAAUUAGGGAAUGCUUCUGCUGCUGUCAAAGCAAAGAGGAGCAACAGCAGGAGCCAAAUAAGAAAG